GGUUAAGCGACUAAGCGUACACGGUGGAUGCCCUGGCAGUCAGAGGCGAUGAAGGACGUGCUAAUCUGCGAUAAGCGUCGGUAAGGUGAUAUGAACCGUUAUAACCGGCGAUUUCCGAAUGGGGAAACCCAGUGUGAUUCGUCACACUAUCAUUAACUGAAUCCAUAGGUUAAUGAGGCGAACCGGGGGAACUGAAACAUCUAAGUACCCCGAGGAAAAGAAAUCAACCGAGAUUCCCCCAGUAGCGGCGAGCGAACGGGGAGGAGCCCAGAGCCUGAAUCAGUGUGUGUGUUAGUGGAAGCGUCUGGAAAGGCGCGCGAUACAGGGUGACAGCCCCGUACACAAAAAUGCACAUGCUGUGAGCUCGAUGAGUAGGGCGGGACACGUGGUAUCCUGUCUGAAUAUGGGGGGACCAUCCUCCAAGGCUAAAUACUCCUGACUGACCGAUAGUGAACCAGUACCGUGAGGGAAAGGCGAAAAGAACCCCGGCGAGGGGAGUGAAAAAGAACCUGAAACCGUGUACGUACAAGCAGUGGGAGCACAGAGCAAUCUGUGUGACUGCGUACCUUUUGUAUAAUGGGUCAGCGACUUAUAUUCUGUAGCAAGGUUAACCGAAUAGGGGAGCCGAAGGGAAACCGAGUCUUAACUGGGCGUUAAGUUGCAGGGUAUAGACCCGAAACCCGGUGAUCUAGCCAUGGGCAGGUUGAAGGUUGGGUAACACUAACUGGAGGACCGAACCGACUAAUGUUGAAAAAUUAGCGGAUGACUUGUGGCUGGGGGUGAAAGGCCAAUCAAACCGGGAGAUAGCUGGUUCUCCCCGAAAGCUAUUUAGGUAGCGCCUCGUGAAUUCAUCUCCGGGGGUAGAGCACUGUUUCGGCAAGGGGGUCAUCCCGACUUACCAACCCGAUGCAAACUGCGAAUACCGGAGAAUGUUAUCACGGGAGACACACGGCGGGUGCUAACGUCCGUCGUGAAGAGGGAAACAACCCAGACCGCCAGCUAAGGUCCCAAAGUCAUGGUUAAGUGGGAAACGAUGUGGGAAGGCCCAGACAGCCAGGAUGUUGGCUUAGAAGCAGCCAUCAUUUAAAGAAAGCGUAAUAGCUCACUGGUCGAGUCGGCCUGCGCGGAAGAUGUAACGGGGCUAAACCAUGCACCGAAGCUGCGGCAGCGACACUGUGUGUUGUUGGGUAGGGGAGCGUUCUGUAAGCCUGUGAAGGUGUGCUGUGAGGCAUGCUGGAGGUAUCAGAAGUGCGAAUGCUGACAUAAGUAACGAUAAAGCGGGUGAAAAGCCCGCUCGCCGGAAGACCAAGGGUUCCUGUCCAACGUUAAUCGGGGCAGGGUGAGUCGACCCCUAAGGCGAGGCCGAAAGGCGUAGUCGAUGGGAAACAGGUUAAUAUUCCUGUACUUGGUGUUACUGCGAAGGGGGACGGAGAAGGCUAUGUUGGCCGGGCGACGGUUGUCCCGGUUUAAGCGUGUAGGCUGGUUUUCCAGGCAAAUCCGGAAAAUCAAGGCUGAGGCGUGAUGACGAGGCACUACGGUGCUGAAGCAACAAAUGCCCUGCUUCCAGGAAAAGCCUCUAAGCAUCAGGUAACAUCAAAUCGUACCCCAAACCGACACAGGUGGUCAGGUAGAGAAUACCAAGGCGCUUGAGAGAACUCGGGUGAAGGAACUAGGCAAAAUGGUGCCGUAACUUCGGGAGAAGGCACGCUGAUAUGUAGGUGAAGUCCCUCGCGGAUGGAGCUGAAAUCAGUCGAAGAUACCAGCUGGCUGCAACUGUUUAUUAAAAACACAGCACUGUGCAAACACGAAAGUGGACGUAUACGGUGUGACGCCUGCCCGGUGCCGGAAGGUUAAUUGAUGGGGUCAGCGCAAGCGAAGCUCUUGAUCGAAGCCCCGGUAAACGGCGGCCGUAACUAUAACGGUCCUAAGGUAGCGAAAUUCCUUGUCGGGUAAGUUCCGACCUGCACGAAUGGCGUAAUGAUGGCCAGGCUGUCUCCACCCGAGACUCAGUGAAAUUGAACUCGCUGUGAAGAUGCAGUGUACCCGCGGCAAGACGGAAAGACCCCGUGAACCUUUACUAUAGCUUGACACUGAACAUUGAGCCUUGAUGUGUAGGAUAGGUGGGAGGCUUUGAAGUGUGGACGCCAGUCUGCAUGGAGCCGACCUUGAAAUACCACCCUUUAAUGUUUGAUGUUCUAACGUGGACCCGUGAUCCGGGUUGCGGACAGUGUCUGGUGGGUAGUUUGACUGGGGCGGUCUCCUCCUAAAGAGUAACGGAGGAGCACGAAGGUUGGCUAAUCCUGGUCGGACAUCAGGAGGUUAGUGCAAUGGCAUAAGCCAGCUUGACUGCGAGCGUGACGGCGCGAGCAGGUGCGAAAGCAGGUCAUAGUGAUCCGGUGGUUCUGAAUGGAAGGGCCAUCGCUCAACGGAUAAAAGGUACUCCGGGGAUAACAGGCUGAUACCGCCCAAGAGUUCAUAUCGACGGCGGUGUUUGGCACCUCGAUGUCGGCUCAUCACAUCCUGGGGCUGAAGUAGGUCCCAAGGGUAUGGCUGUUCGCCAUUUAAAGUGGUACGCGAGCUGGGUUUAGAACGUCGUGAGACAGUUCGGUCCCUAUCUGCCGUGGGCGCUGGAGAACUGAGGGGGGCUGCUCCUAGUACGAGAGGACCGGAGUGGACGCAUCACUGGUGUUCGGGUUGUCAUGCCAAUGGCACUGCCCGGUAGCUAAAUGCGGAAGAGAUAAGUGCUGAAAGCAUCUAAGCACGAAACUUGCCCCGAGAUGAGUUCUCCCUGACCCUUUAAGGGUCCUGAAGGAACGUUGAAGACGACGACGUUGAUAGGCCGGGUGUGUAAGCGCAGCGAUGCGUUGAGCUAACCGGUACUAAUGAACCGUGAGGCUUAACCUU
rnacentral:rRNA from 1 species